AUGGCAGCGGAAGCUGAUGAGGCUCCCAAGAUCUGUCAGCUUCAGAUUAAGCAGGCUGAAGAGAUGCAACCUUUUGAGCCGGCAAGGCCAUGCCUCGCCUUGGCCUACGGCGCGGCGGACCCAUCGGUCAGAAGUCCUGUGGGCGUGCAGCCGGAAGUCCUCCAGGAGCGCGAUGUCAUGGCUGCGCAGAAGGUUGUCGGUGAAGUUGUCGAAAUUGUUGUAGGCGCCGGUCUCCGCCUCGUCGACGUCGAGGCACGGCACGGCGCGCCAGAGGUGCCUCCACCUCGUGGACAGCACGCACGUCCGCGCCAUCUGCAGGGCCUUGAGGCGCGACAUGAUGGCGUGGAGGAGGUCGUCCGGCAGCGCGCUCAGACGGUCGCCGGCAUGCCCGAUGCCGCCGCCACCACACGCAUCAAGGCUGCUGCUUCCGUCGUCGCCACCUGCAGGGCGCGGAUGCUUCGGCUUGGCGGAGGCGUCCGUGCAGCGCCCUCCAACCAUUUUCGUUGGUUUGGGAUUACUGCAGUACGAGUACGAGGGAGGGUGGGCGCUUGUGCUUAUAUGCAGCGAUGGUGGUAA
rnacentral:rRNA from 1 species